rnacentral:rRNA from 2 species
UCGCACGAGUUCAGACUCGUGGCGAAUAGCUCAGUAACACGUGGCCAAACUACCCUUCGGAACACAAUACCCUCGGGAAACUGAGGCUAAUAGUGUAUACCAUACCACCACUGGAAUGAGUGGUAUGCCAAACGCUCCGGCGCCGAAGGAUGUGGCUGCGGCCGAUUAGGUAGACGGUGGGGUAACGGCCCACCGUGCCAAUAAUCGGUAUGGGUCAUGAGAGUGAGAACCCAGAGACGGAAUCUGAGACAAGAUUCCGGGCCCUACGGGGCGCAGCAGGCGCGAAACCUUUACACUGCACGACAGUGCGAUAGGGGGAUCCCAAGUGCACAGGCAUAGCGCCUGUGCUUUUCGGUACCCUAAGGCGGUACCAGAAUAAGGGCUGGGCAAGACCGGUGCCAGCCGCCGCGGUAAUACCGGCAGCCCAAGUGAUGGCCGAUCUUAUUGGGCCUAAAGCGUCCGUAGCUGGCCGCGCAAGUCCAUCGGGAAAUCCACCUGCUCAACAGGUGGGCG